AUUGAAAAAAAUAGUUUCCACAUGGUUUGGUCACGGACUUCCCCGAUCGAUGCUGAGUGCGACUCUUGAAUGCUGCAAGUGUUAAACGUCUUUGAUGAUGGAACUGCGGCAAAGGCGGGAGUGGUUGGAUUAUACAGUGCUGAAUAUAUCGCCGUGCUCAUUCUAUCUUCCUGGAUACAUAUUUCCCCUGCUACAGCGCCCAGUGACGUCAUAUGGGGAAUUCCAUCCAUUCCGCAGGUGCGGUCAAGGUCAGCGAGGUAUCCUUCAAUAGGGUGUAACCAUGCCUAGAAGUCACGUGAGCAUCGCUAGGUUCUGCGAUUGGUCAGAAGACCUUGGUGAUUUAUGUAUCUCUGUGUCGAAACUUUAUCGUGACCUUGCCAACAUUCCCCGUCUUGAGACAAGGGGCAGAACAAGAACAUGCAGUGGUGCAGCAACGGGGUCAGGGUCAUUCCCGGCCGGAUGUUCUCGCGGGAUAAGGGGCGCUGACGAAAGGAGAAGGGGGAGAUAAUCGAGGGGAUUUAUCGCAACCGUGGAGAAAACAAAUGCGUGAUGUUCAGCGACAGCCUUCCCCUGUUCGGAAUCAUUACGAUGCUUCGGCUGUAGAUCGGUAGGACGAUAUCUAAGGGCGUAGGUCACCCAGACACAGCGCUCACAAGAGGUCAAGGAGUCGGAAUUUAAAGUGCCAGAAUCCUUGUUCACGGUAAGUCUCAUUCCACCAACUGACAUUGGAACUCUACCCUCAAGGCGAGUCGUCCUGUUAUUUUUGUGCGAAAGAAAAGCAAUUCAAAACAAAUCGGAUUCAUUUUGUAGGUGAGACGUCACCUCACUGUAAGGACAGUGGUGAUUGGUCCGACGAAGGCCCGCGGCGCCUCCCAGCACUCCUGAUAGGCUACUUCCAGAAACGUGCGCGAGGAAGGCAUAUGGCAGCAGCGAGAACUCGUUUUCCUUUCCUCAGACAGCCCGGAGAUCCACUCAGCUGGACUCCCCGAGGAGAGGUUAGGGUGAAUGUCUAUCUACCAGCAAUGGCGGCAGAGCAAACCGAUGAGGAUAUUAAAACCUGUCUCCUUCACCGGAAGAACGAUGUUCCGGAAAAGAGAGACCUCUCAAUAAUCAGACUUUAGGUUAAAGAAAGACACAUCUGCAUCACAGGGUGAACAUCCACUCGAUUCAAGACCACGCACACCAUCGAGGGAGCGACAAACACACGUUCACCUUGCACCAACAACGAGUAUCAAAGAGGACGAGGGGACUUCAGAAGACAAGGCACUGGAAAAUGAUGGUAAACCUGGAUGUGAGCUCCGGUAGGUGAUAUAAAGCACAAAUAUCACGAUAAAACUAUUACAGGCAAAUGUGAAAUGUCCGAACCACAGACUUAUAUAUCUGGUUUGAGAUCUGCCUGGUCAGAGUCUUUUGCCAGAGUGUGGUCAAGAGGUACGGCUGUAUGAUCAUCAUGUGAUCAUUUCGUUGACAUAGCUGCAUUAAAACGCAUCAAAUCAACUGUAAAACGCACCAAACGAAGACUUCUAAACAAGCUGUAUAUUUUUUGUGACCCAAAUUACGGUUUAAUCGCUUUCUGGACUUGAGGCGUCUUCAUGGACCCAUGACUCUGCAGCGGGAUGUUGCCUUAUACACCUGGAAAAAGUUAAACUUUACCCGCUUUUACUUCAUAUAUCCCUAGAAAAAAGCAUCCAUCUAACCUUCGGGGGGAUGCGUACAAAUGACAUUGAUCUCGACGGAAACAAAUGGUACUCAAAGAUAGCUGCAGUACAGUUGGUACCAGAUUACCACAUAUUACUCUAAUGGUACUCAUCAUUGCAAUAUGACACAAGAAAUGCCAUGGAGCAAUGAAUUAACUAGUGCCAUAGACGUUUGGAGUAUAUGUCAUUUUGAUCAGGUCCGAUUUGUUCCUGUACAGCGAUAUGUUUGGGACGUAUGCACAAAAAGUGUUUUGUAAACAUCCAUCUCAUGGAAAUAUAUAGUAAGCGGUG